GAAAGACUUCAACUUUUAUUUGUCUAUUUUACUUCCUUGUCUCUUUCAAAUGAAGCUAGAGAGGAGAGGCUGGCUGCAUGUAGUGGAAAACCAUGAAAUUUGUUUGCUUAGAAAUUAAAAUUUUCAAGUAGAAAGGUGGGAGAAGGCUGUAGCGGAAAAAAAGAAGAAGUGAAGGAGCAAAUUGAAUAGGUAGAAUCGGUGUUGGGAACCAUAUGUUUCGAAGGCUCGCUCGGGUUGGAAGUCGUCGGAGAUCUCAUCACACUAUCCAGCGAUGGUUUCGGUAUUUUAAAAGUUUGUACUUUUGACAUAUGGCAUGUAUAGGCUAGUUUUGAUAUGGUUCAUUUUGAACUAUAUAUAUGUAGCCAUACGAAAAUGGUUUGAUAAUGAUGCUAAUGUUUGUGUAUAUUCGGUCAUGGUAUAAGCUCAUUUUUGAAAGUAUGUUUCCCGAUAUAUAUAUA